rnacentral:rRNA from 1 species
CAGCAGCCGCGGUAAAACGUAGGGUGCAAGCGUUAAUCGGAAUUACUGGGCGUAAAGCGUGCGCAGGCGGUUCGCUAAGACAGAUGUGAAAUCCCCGGGCUUAACCUGAGAACUGCAUUUGUGACUGGCGGGCUAGAGUAUGGCAGAGGGGGGUAGAAUUCCACGUGUAGCAGUGAAAUGCGUAGAGAUGUGGAGGAAUACCGGUGGCGAAGGCGGCCCCCUGGACAAAGACUGACGCUCAGGUGCGAAAGCGUGGGGAGCAAACAGGAUUAGAUACCCGCGUAGUCCCUGUCUCUUAUAC